CCUUGUUCAGAUUACAGCUGAAUAACAUGUUAUUCGAAGGUGUUACUUCUGAAUAACAAAACCGUUCGCACUAGCAUUUUAGGUAAUACUAUUUGACAGCUGACAGCAUGUGUCAAGCGCCAAUUUUUUUCGAGCAGUUUGUUGUUUGUUUACAAAUAUGCAGCGAGAUUCUUCAAAUUAGAAUUCAAUUAUUAUUAAACAAUUAUUCUGUUUGCGAUUAAAGAACUGUUCAGCGGUAAUGAGAUUUAUUAAUUUGCUAUUUUCUUCGUAAUUGCAAGAAGCGGACCAAACUCCGAAGGCGUGAGUUCAGUAUGGGAUGAAACAGAUAGUGAUUAGUGUGCGCUAAAAAGCCAGAAGUAUUUGUGUGCUUCGUUUAAAUUUUAUUUUGCAAGUAGGUUACAAGUAGGUUUCGUCACCGGUGAACGGGAUGUGAAGUCGAGGAUUUCAUAAAUAUUACACAGGCAGAAAGCAUCAAUGGAGCCUGGAAGGUCAAGAUGGAUCAGAAAUAAUACAAUGUUUAGCAGCUGCAAGACGAGCCAACGUGAAUUCAAGUUAAACCAAAUUGUAUCGCCAAAACAGUGUGACAAUGGAAUUCAUGGAACAUCUUCAGCGCGAGACACAGGAUUCAUGGAACCCGAACUAACUCGAGAACUACGGUGGAAAUUCCAAAAAUAUUCAGUGCUAUCGUUUGGAGCGACCGACGGCUUUUUACUGGGAUGCGUCUAGUCCUUGGGCCCAAUGGGAAGUAUCAUCAGUGUUGGUUGUCCUCCCCUAUUUGGUUGUAUCGUUGAUCGGAUUAUUCUGCACCUAUUUUGUUGAUCCAGUUUUGCUCAAAAGGUCACCAAUCGGAAAACCACAAGUUGCCGGUAGUGAUAGUAUUAUAAUUGGUUUUAAGAGUAAGAAAUUCACCGUCGUUUCGCCCACGAAGUAACUUCCAAUUUUUAUAAUAAAAUAACAAUUAAACAACGCAGGAUGAUAUUAUUAUAUCUAUGAUGAUAUCGCACGUAAUCAUCAUCAGAGGAGAUGGUAUUAGUUGCCAAAAUCAGCUAAAACCAUUAUAUUAUAUCUCAACUUAGGUGAACGAGGCCAGGCACGGAACUACGUUGUUGUGUUUCGCUAGGAAGGGAUCGUGGAGUACUAAUAACUAAAAUAGAUACUAGAGUAAAAUGAUUCAAACGAAAUAAAGAUAUUCAAACGCAUUCACUUCUUCUUCUUCUUUUUCUUCUUCUACGGGUCUACAUUCCAAGUUGAACCUGGCGCGUUUUUCAACUUGUUAUCCUUCACCAUUUUCUCAGUUAAAAUUUGAAAGCUUUUCUAUGCCCGCCAUUUCAUAAGUGUAUGUCCUGUUUGGCAAGUACAAUGGAUACAUUAUGCCCAAGCAAUCGAGAUUGCUUUCCACCCGAAAACAUACUAGACUUAACCUAAAAUUAAAACUUGUUAACUCUGGAUUCGCAGUCCUACGCAUUCAGUUGA